rnacentral:rRNA from 1 species
GGGUGAAGGUAGUGGAUCGAGCGGCGGACGGGUGAGUAACACGUGGGCAACCUGCCUGUAAGACUGGGAUAACUCGCGGAAACGCGAGCUAAUACCGGAUAAUACUUUUUAUCACAUGGUAAGAAGAUGAAAGGCGGCGCAAGCUGUCACUUACAGAUGGGCCCGCGGCGCAUUAGCUAGUUGGUGAGGUAACGGCUCACCAAGGCGACGAUGCGUAGCCGACCUGAGAGGGUGAUCGGCCACACUGGGACUGAGACACGGCCCAGACUCCUACGGGAGGCAGCAGUAGGGAAUCUUCCGCAAUGGACGAAAGUCUGACGGAGCAACGCCGCGUGAGUGAUGAAGGUUUUCGGAUUGUAAAACUCUGUUGUUAGGGAAGAACAAGUACAAGAGUAACUGCUUGUACCUUGACGGUACCUAACCAGAAAGCCCCGGCUAACUACGUGCCAGCAGCCGCGGUAAUACGUAGGGGGCGAGCGUUGUCCGGAAUUAUUGGGCGUAAAGCGCGCGCAGGCGGUUCUUUAAGUCUGAUGUGAAAGCCCACGGCUUAACCGUGGAGGGUCAUUGGAAACUGGAGGACUUGAGUGCAGAAGAGGAGAGUGGAAUUCCACGUGUAGCGGUGAAAUGCGUAGAGAUGUGGAGGAA